rnacentral:misc_RNA from 1 species
UUUCCGUAGGUGAACCAGCGGAAGGAUCAUUAUUGUAACCAAAAUCUCUACACUUUUGAACAGUCUGUGUGUGAUGUAUGUCUGCGGUUGAGUGUGUUUGUGCGUGUGUCUGUGUGUGUGUGUGUGUGUCCGUGGUGGUGGGGUAGUAUUUGCGUGCCACCGCAUUGCUUGCAUAUAGUAUAAUAUAUAUACUAUAUGCAUAUGGAUGCUCAUAUAUACAUACUCUAAUAGUCAUGCCUCAUUCCUAUCCAUUCAGCAUAUCAUCAUCAUGUACAAUUAUUAUAUACUACUAAAUAAUGACUGCUUUUGACAUGCAAGAGGUCACACUCUUCAAUAAAAAAAAUUAUACAACUUUCAACAAUGGAUCUCUUGGCUCUU